AGAGUUUGAUCAUGGCUCAGAACGAACGCUGGCGGCGUGCCUAACACAUGCAAGUCGAACGGGUCCAAGAUGCAGGACUCAGGAUGCAGGGGCGUGAUGCGGGACUUAACCGAAGGAACUCGCAAGACGUGCACUUUGUAUCUUGAGUCCUGUGUCUUGGAUUAGUGGCGGACGGGUGAGUAACACGUAGGUAACCAACCCUCAAGCGGGGGACAACCCAGGGAAACUUGGGCUAAUACCGCAUAAGACCACGGUCUGGGAUGAUUGUGGUAAAAGGAGCAAUUCACUUGAGGAUGGGCCUGCGGCCUAUCAGGUAGUUGGUGGGGUAACGGCCCACCAAGCCGAAGACGGGUAGCCGGACUGAGAGGUUGAACGGCCACACUGGAACUGAGACACGGUCCAGACUCCUACGAGAGGCAGCAGUGGGGAAUUUUGCGCAAUGGGGGAAACCCUGACGCAGCGACGCCGCGUGGAGGAUGAAGGUCUUCGGAUUGUAAACUCCUUUUGUCGGGGAAGAUAAUGACGGUACCCGAUGAAUAAGCCACGGCUAACUCUGUGCCAGCAGCCGCGGUAAGACAGAGGUGGCAAGCGUUGUUCGGAAUUACUGGGCUUAAAGGGCGCGUAGGCGGUGGUGUAAGUCUGGGGUGGAAGAUUAGGGCUUAACCCUAAAAUUGCCUUGGAAACUGCAUCACUUGAGUCAGCGAGGGGAUGGCGGAAUUCCAGGUGUAGCGGUGAAAUGCGUAGAUAUCUGGAGGAAGGCCGGUGGCGAAAGGCGGCCAUCUGGCGCUGAACUGACGCUGAGGCGCGAUAGCGUGGGGAGCAAACAGGAUUAGAUACCCUGGUAGUCCACGCCCUAAACGGUGGGUACUAGUGUAGGGCUCGCAAGGGUUCUGUGCCGUAGGGAACCAUUAAGUACCCCGCCUGGGGAGUACGGCCGCAAGGUGAAACUCAAAGGAAUUGACGGAUC
rnacentral:rRNA from 1 species